UACAGAGGUCUCAAGCGUUGUUCGGAUUCAUUGGGCGUAAAGGGUGUGUAGGUGGCGCCGUAAGUCGGGUGUGAAAUUUCGGAGCUUAACUCCGAAACUGCAUUCGAUACUGCGGUGCUUGAGGACUGGAGAGGAGACUGGAAUUCAUGGUGUAGCAGUGAAAUGCGUAGAGAUCAUGAGGAAGACCAGUGGCGAAGGCGGGUCUCUGGACAGUUCCGUGACACUAAGACACGAAGGCCAGGGGAGCAAACGGG
rnacentral:rRNA from 1 species